UGGGAAGUAGCUCAACCGGCAGAGCAGGUGCCUUUGGAGCACAAGGUUGUAGGUUCAAGUCCUACCUUCCCAG
rnacentral:tRNA from 1 species